UUAACAAAAACAUGUCUUUUUGAAUUUGAAUAUAAAGUCUAAUCUGCCCACUGAUGAAUUAUUUAAUGGCCGCAGUAUUUUAACUGUGCAAAGGUAGCAUAAUAAUUAGUUUUUUAAUUGAAGGCUUGUAUGAAUGAUUGGACGAGAUAUAAACUGUCUCAAAAAAAAUUUUUUUAAAAUUUAAUUUUUUAGUUAAAAAGCUAAAAUAUAAUUAAAAGACGAGAAGACCCCAUAGAUCUUAAUAUUUUUAUAUAUUAAUAUUAUUUAGUUUUUUUAUAGAUUAAUAAUUAAAAAUAUUUUAUUGGGGUGAUAUUGAAAUUUAAUAAACUUUCAAAAUUUAAUAACAUUAAUUUAUGAAUUUAUGAUCCUUUAUUAUUGAUUAAAAAUUUAAGUUACCUUGGGGAUAACAGCGUAAUUAUUUUGGAAAGUUCAUAUCGAUAAAAUAGAUUGCGACCUCGAUGUUGGAUUAAGAUUAAUUUUGGGUGUAGUAGUUCAAAAUAUUAAGUCUGUUCGACUUUUAAUUUCUUACGUGAUCUG
rnacentral:rRNA from 1 species